UAGUACCUAUUUUUUGUAUACAGUAUGGUUACCUAGCAACCGAGGCUUGAAGACACCAAGUGGUAAACAGUUGUACAACAUUCUGUAAGAACUGCUAGGUGAGUGGUUAGAACACAGCACUUUGGUCUGGG